rnacentral:snRNA from 1 species
ACUAAAAUUAGUUAGUAUAGUUUAGAACAAUACAGAGAUUAGCAUGGCCCCUGUAUAAGGAAGACACGAAAAUUCGUGAAAGGUUCCAUAUUUAU